rnacentral:rRNA from 1 species
AUGACGCACCGCACUCACCUCCCGCCGCUCCGCGCGUUCCAGUUCCCGCUCGCCACUCACCUCCGUCACACUUGCUCUCCUUCCCCUCCACCACCUCGCCUCUCGCCAGCUCCCGUACCCCGAUGGCCGACGCCGCUUCGCGCCCGCGCGUUCGGCGAAUCCAUCCGCGGAGGCGCCGAGCCCCCUGGCUCCACCCUCGACGCGCUCCUCUCGGGCGCGGAGCUGCUCUGCCUCGCGCCGCCCGCCAUCUGCUCUGCGGUUUGCGCCGUCCGCCUUAUCGUCGCGCGGGGCGGCUCAGUCAAGCCAUUCGCUGCUGUAGCGAGUGGGAGGAUGUUCGUCUUGCAGUACGUUCUCUUGGUGGGGGCGGUGGCGGUCGGGGUGCUGGUCCGGCGGAAGCAAUGGGAGCGACUUUGCCGGGUGGGCGCGGGCGGCAGCGCAUCGGCCACAGGUGGUGUGGAUUUGGUGGGGAGGGUCGAGAAGGUGGAGGAGAGCGUGCGGGUUGUGUUGGCGGCCGUUGUAGUGCUGUCGAGAACAGUGGAGAAGCUCGGCGUCAGGUUUAGGGUGCUGCGGAGGACGGUGACGGAUCCUAUCAGUGAGACAGCAACAUUAGCCGAAAAGAAUUCAGAAGCCACUCGAAUACUAGCAGCGCAAGGAAAUCUUCUCGAGAAAGAAAUUGGUUCGAUACAAAAGGUUCUAUACGCGAUGCAGGGGAAACUUUGA